AAUCUUAUUCCUUAAAAUUACUUCUUCAUCUAAUGCUUUAUCAUAUUUAAGUUGUAAUUCAUGAAAUUCAAGUUUCAACUUAUUAUGUGCAACAUCUAAUUUUUCAAAUUCAUUCAAUAACUCAAGAAAUGUCUUUUGUAAAUCUAUUUCAUUAGUUUCAUGGCUAGAGUCACUUACUUGAGUUCUAGUGUCACAAAAUAAUCCAUUAAGCAAAGAUUUACUUCCUCAUCUGAGUCACUUGAGUUUGAGGAGUUGAAGUCAUUCUCUUCCCAAUCUAUGUAGGCUUUCUUCUUCUUUAGGAAUUUCUUUUCUUCACUUAUCUUGUUCUUGGGACAAUCAGACUUGACAUCUCUUCUUUCUCCACACCCAUAACACUUGAUGCUUGAUGAAGAUCCUUGAUUGUCCUUCUUUUCACUUCUGAACUUAUCCUUGUUCUUUGCUCUCAUGAAUUUAGCAAAUCUCUUUUUCAUGAGGCUCAUAUGC
rnacentral:lncRNA from 1 species